rnacentral:rRNA from 1 species
GAAUUUUAUAUAAAUUUAUUAUAUAUUUUAUAAUAAGGAGAUAUUAAUAAGUUUAUAUUUUAUUGGGAGGAUAAUUAAAUUAUAAUAACUUUAAUAGUAUUAAUAAAACAUUAAUUUAUGAGUUAUAAGAUAAAAGAAUGGUUAAGUUAGUUUAAAUAGAAUUAAUUACCUUAGGGAUAACAGCGUAAUAUUUUUAGAGAGAUCUUAUUAAUAAAGAUGAUUGC